CUCCCCUCCAUUGCUGGUUUGACGAUGGGUAGGCAGCUUAUUAGGUGGCCCAGAGGUUAUGUCUUUGGUCAGGUUUAGCUCCACAUCUUGGUAAAUUCUAAAUCAUGAGAAAGAAA